ACCAGUGUUCUAAUAAUUAUGCAGGGAAGGAACUUAAAGGGGUAAAGGACACCUGUCAGUUGAUUGAAACCGAAACCAAUCAGCUUUGGUUUGAAAUUAAAUGCCCUUCCCUACCUCGUCGAUUUUGUGUCCUGAUGUGGUGAAGAGACUUCGCUUUUUGUCUCGAAGAAUCCGUUGAUUGGCAAGAAAAAUGCAUUCAGUAACUCACGCGGCGACAUUUUCCCACAAAUAUUAUGGUGAACUCUGCAAAAAAGAGCCCAUCAUAUAGCUUAGGCGUCAAACAUUGUUACCACUACCUGGGUUGGGGAUUCUACAAAGUCUACACCAUGAUAAAGAUAACGAACUGAACAUCAACAAAGAAUGGUUAUCAGCCAAAACCGGAAGGCGUCAGUGGAAAGGAAAUCUUCGAUGAUUUCAACACCAUUCCUCGGCGUCUUUCAAACGAGAUACGCAACAACAGUCAGCAAAAGCAGGAAAAGAUAGAGGAAGUUUUUCUAAAAUUGAUCACUUUGGAAACAUCCCUGUUGGAAUACGGACAGUACAACCUUAAUCACACGACAACUGAACUAAGCAUGAGCAGCGCGCACGUGGGUAAUGCAAUUUCUCAAUGUGAUAAGUAUGUUCGAGAUAAUCGUCCCUUCCGGUUGAAGGGCCGCAUUGAAAUGGCGUUCAUCACAUGAAGUAGCCUUACCGCGGCAAUCUGGGGCAACAUACAUCCAUAUAAUGAAAUAAACCAGUUCUCACUGUUCUCUCCCUUACAUGCACAUUUCAUAUAUCUUGAAUAUGGAUUAAAGACUGUUUAUUUUGUCUUCCUUGAUCUAUCGAUAACC